rfam:Neotoma lepida isolate 417 scaffold_663, whole genome shotgun sequence.
GGAGAGAUAGCUCAGUGGUUAACAGCACUGGCUGCUCUUCCAGAGUACCUGGGUUAAAUUCCCAGCNUCUACA